ACUUCACUCUCUUUCUUCCGGUGUCAUGCAGAAAGUUAGUGACUGACAGUUUCCAUUCACUUUCAUUGUAUGGAAAAAAGGUGAACGGUGACAGGCUGUCAUUCUGCCUAAUAGAACUCAUGCAGGAUUAUUACGAUGCAGCAGAUCAUGAUUGCAAUUAUAAUCAACAGAGAUCCAGCAGCAGCUGCAGCAGAGAUCAGCACUAUCAGAGAUACAGCGUCUGGAAGAACUGAAGGAGAAUAAAGAGAGACAGUCAUGAAUGAGAGAGUCACAUGACCCACAUUAACCACUGAACA